UGUGGUUAGUCAGUGCAGUUCUGGCUCCCCUGUGAAUGUGAUUCACUGCACUGACAUAUUCCAACCAUGGCUAUAGCACAGGGCUCAGAGACCAAGAUCCCUGUGCACUGUGAAUGGACCUGUGAAAUGAGAUGGUCCUUUCUCUGGAAAGGCUGUCAGAUGAGCCGAAUGGACCUCAGAGGAGCAGAAUGGAUCUCAGAGGAGCUGAAUGGAUCUCAGAGGAGCUCAAUUAAUCUCAGUGCCUCCAGAUGGUUUUCAGAGAGAAAAGAACACUAUGUUUUGUCCUUCUCCAAUGCUGAGCUAUUUACAGGAAUCUAAAAAUCGGACAGUAAUCAUAAGUUGCUUCCCUAACGACUCCCCUUUCUAGUCUGGACCUUCACAGCCUGCAUUCUCAGAUACUCCCGGUCAGGUCUUUUCUUUUAGGAUGCUGACUGGGACUUUCAAACUGCCCAUGCAUUUCAGGAGAGACCCCAGGCUGGCAAUGGGAGGCACAGACAGGCAGUCUAGAAGAUGCUCAGGGAUACAGCUGUUGCCAUCACAGACAAUCGGGGACAUCCGCCUUCCAGGGGUUGCUUUGAGGAUGAGUCCAUUUCAGCAGUUUCCACGUUUUCACCUGUGCCCGAGGAAACACACACAGCCUGACCAGCAGCAAGGCUUAGCGGGGUCCUCUCAGGUCUCGUUCUGUCUGGUGGCUGUGGCAGCUGCAGAGAUGGACCAAGUCAGUGACUGGAAGUUUGGAUGUGGACCGAGUUCUCACUUAGUACACAUCAACAUCACCGUGGCAAUGGUGCUUUUUCUUUCUUGCCUCUUUCCUGCAUCCUGCUCUUUACUAACACCUGGCAUCUUCUAGCUUACCCUAGACUAGACGUUAGGUAUUUCUACCCAUUUCCUUUGCUGCCUGUUUUCUUUGUCCGUUCACUUCCUUCUGUUUUCUGCUUUAUCAAGGCUCUCUUUGGUGACCUUUGACUGUAUACAAUCACUGCAAUGGGAGAUACUGGCUUGUGAACAUGUAUAUAGGGAGGUAACUUUGUAGUGAGGCUAAUCACACUGAACCCAUUUCAUUUCUAAGUCUUGUCACAAUGACAUUCUAUUUUGGGGUCAUGGUUUGCAUUUUUUGUUUUUUUGUGGGCUUUUCUUUGUGGAUGUUGAGACCCCCCAUAUAGGCCCUGUGAUCUGUGUCCCCCCAAGACUGCACAGGUAUUCUGCAGGUAUGCCAAGCUGAGUUUUCCCAGUAAUGGACAAGCACUGCCUAUUUUAAGUGGCUAAAACAGGUCAUGCCUAUGGACACUUUUCCCCCAUUUCAUACACACAUAGCUUCGUCUUUGGGGAAUUUUAGAUACAUGAAGAAGACAAACCAAGGACCUCUUGGGCAUUUGUCUUGAAUAGACUGGUAGUUUAUCGUCACUUUUAGGCUGUUAUCUUCUGUGUGUGGAUGGUAGGGCCUAGUUCCCGGGAGGUCAAAAGAGGCAUGUUUUCAGACACACCUCUCUUGUUCUGUGGAGUUAGUUUUGGGAUGGGUUUUGUUAUGCAGCCCAGGCUCUCCUUGUACCCCCAGGGUCAGAUGACACACUUCUGCCUCAGUUUCCCUGUUAGCUAGGACCACAUGACAUUGGGCCCAGCAGACCCUCUAGAAAUGGCCACAGUGAUUCCUACCCUUCAGUGUCCUUUCUCAUGGUGAAAACAGCUUUGCUUUCUGCACAAGCAUGCCCCUUCUUAGUCUGUGCUGUCCCGAUCCCUGCGAGGACUGAAGGGACGUGUGAAGUGACACUCUGCCCAUGUGCUGUGGCCUUCUGAGAUGACGUGGCUUCUGUUCUUGCCUUGAGAUCCAGAGAACUCUGCUGGAGAAGGCCAAUGGGGAACAUUGUGCACCCCCCUCCCACUGAUGGGUGGAUCGAGCAUCUCCUCAGGAUUCUCUGACUGCAGGCGGCACUGUGAUGACUCCCUCUCUCCCCAGAAACAGGCCAAGUAGCCAACCUGCAGAAUCACAAGCUACAGAGGUGCUUGUCUUAAUCAGUUCAGUUUGUGCUCGUUUGGUAUGCAACAAGAGGUGUCUGCCCUGAGCUCACUCUAGAAGACUCAUUUAGAGUCAGAGUCAGGACUCAGAACCCUGGUGCCUGCAUUUCACUCUUUAGGCCCUAUAGAUUCUGAGUCUUAAAGGUUUAUUUUUAUUAUUUCCAGACGUGCGCGUGCGUGCGCGCAUGCAUGUGUGUGUGUGUGUGUGUGUGUGUGUGUGUGGUUACAUGCAUGUGAAUGCAAAUGCCUAUAGAGGUCAGAGGCUCAGAACCCCCUGGAGCUGCAGUUAUAGGCAGUUUCGAACUGUCUCACACUGAACGUAGGUUUUCUUCAAGACCAGUGCAGGCUCUUAAGCACUGAGCCAUCUCUCCAGCCUGAUUCUUAAAGAAGACUUUGUCUCCGAAAAGACUAAGAACCAUUCACUUCUAGUUAAAGUCGGCCAUAACACCAACACAGGUUAGUUUGUAUUUAUAACAAUUUCACAUGCUUGCUCUACAGUAAAAACCUGAUUACACAAUUAUACUAAGGAAAAAGAUAUCCUAAAUUUAUGGUAAAAGCUUAACACUCCUAGGGUAGGUAUUAGGAAUGUAGUUGGAAAAAAAUAAAGUAUGUCUCUCUGUGUGUGCAUGUACGUGUGUCCUCUGAAUGUGCACAUGUGUGUGCAUGCAUGGUCUCUGUGUAGCUAUGAAUGUGUGUAUGUUUAUUCAUGUAUCAGUGAUGCUCUUAACUCAGUAAGAAAAUCAGAUCCUGUGGGCUAGAAAGAUAGUUCAGUUGAUAAAACACACACACACACACACACACACACAUUCUUGCCGUGCAAGAAUGAGAACCUGAGUUUGAGUCCCAGAACCCAUGUAAAAAACUGGGAGUGGUAGCAUGUGCUUGUUAUCCUGAGGUUCCCUAGCAUUCAGUGGCUGGUCAACUCAGUUAAGUCAGCAAGGCCCAGAUUCCUGUGAGAGACGCUAUCUCAACAGAGACCAAACCAAACCAAACAAACAAAAACGCGUUUAACAAAAAACUAAGGUAGAAAACUCCUGAGGAAUGACACCUGAGAUCUUUUCAUAUGCAUGCACACUCAUGUUUACACACAUGAAGGUGCAUCACACACACGUGAACACAGGAGAAAAGAAAGCUGAUCUUGGAAAUAUGUAUCGCAAAUGUCCAACGCCACACACACACACACACACACACACACACACACACACACACACACACGGAAGGAAAGCCAUCUUGGACAUAUGUCUAGCACUACUUUGCUGUUGGUCCUUUGACUCUGAUUUGAAUUUCAUUUUGUUUUGUGGUGAGAUAUAUCAAUAUUUUUUGACAGCCUCAUCUCUUCACAUCACUUUUAGACCUUUAUUUUCAGUAUAAAACAUAUAUCAACUCUCACCAUAUUCACCCAUCUCUACACCGUCUACGUGGAGUUCUGCUGGUAGGAAGCUUGCAUUCACUUUCUCCCAACCCCCAUUUAUAAAAUACAGUAUCCUUUCACAUACCCUUUGCCCCCAUUCUUCCUGAGGGGAGGGCUUGGGAUCUCUCCUCCCUGCUCUGUGGUCCCUCGUGCUGGGCUUUGCUGUUUGGCAUCAGGACUCUCUUAUCUUCUGUUACCAAUAUUUUCCUGUUCAGCCAUCACCACCUGUUAACGUUUCCAUGUGAACUUAAGACAUUGUAUCAAGUUAACAUCCAUCUUCAACUGCUGGCUCCAUGCCCUGCUAACAUCUCUCUUUGUUUUGGGGGGCAUAACAUGGGGGUAUGCAGAAAGAGAGACAGCAGCUUCUUUAAGACCUGAGCUCUCCUGCACAAGAGCAAGGUAUUUUUGCAUUAUUCAGGAGUUAUGCUGACUGACAGAUUUUCCUCAUUUACUCUCUGUUAACUUUACCUCUAGAUAUUUUUUAAUGUUGUUGGUCAGAAAAAGACGAUAUAAUACAAACAUUCUGUCAGCUUUUGCUUGUGGAAACAGACACAGCAUCCCUGUGAAUGCACACAGUGUUUCCCACAUUGCAAGGCCACUUUGGUCUCAUUCCAACAUCUAAACUCAUCACAUAUAACUUCUAAUGAGUUCUUUGUCCUGAGGAUCUCACUGUAAUUGUCCUUGAGUAUCUCUAAGCUUGUCCCAGGCUUGUAAUGCCUUGCACUGUAAAGUCUGCCUGCUACACCAGGCUGCUGUUGGCACAGGCUGUAAUGCUUGGAAACUCAUUACUCCCAAAGAGAAUCGUCAUGUUCUUUUGAUGGACUUAAGGAGCUCAUAAUCUGAAGGCAGAUAUAAAGAAAAAAAAACACAUGUAAGUAUCAGUGCUGGGUGGGACCACAAGUGUUCUCAGGUUCAAUUCUGUUCAGUAAAUCAAAGUGUUUUGAAGGCAUUACUUGGUGAGCAUCAAGGAUUUGUCUGGGACUGCUCUGCACGUCUCAAGACAAAAGGGAGAGUGAUAGCUGAUGAGUACAUCGGGAAAGUCGCCAAGAGAGUUGUAAAUCUUUUGUGUCAGAACAAAAGCUCCUUCAGCACUAUCUUUUUAAGAGGCAUGUUAACAUCACUAACUCUACCUGUGAACUCUCUUAUAGAUGGAAGCCUACAGUCUAAGUGAUAUAGAACAGCUUAAAACACAUGAACUCGGGGAAGCCUGGUCACAGACAUGGAGGGAGAGGACAGUGUUCCUUGGCAUGCUUUUCUAUAGUUGCAGUAAUCUAGGUCAAUUUGGAUGAUGAUCAGAUAGUAAGAUGUUAGUGUAGGGAAAACAGUAUUUUGUGGAAGGUGAUAAAAUCUCAGGAGUCAUUUCAAUAACCACAGAACUUUGAAGCAGGGGAUAGUAAGGGUCAAAAGAAAAAGGAAAAUAUUUCCCAGGUUCUUUAUGAACAUGCCCUGGCGUUCCAGGAUUGCAUGAGAGUUGUUGCCGAGUAAAAUCCUAAACUUUAGCAACUGGAGGCUCUGAGAUUGUGGCAGGGACCUUUUAUAGUCAGCGGUAUCUCAGCAGCACUGACUUCUCCUAUUAACUAGUGGACAGAGGCAUCCAGAAGCAAUGCAGUGGGCAGUGAAGAAUUGUCCACUUUUGUCUGCAUUAGCUGAUUUCAGAGCAUCCGUGUGUUUCAGAAAUGGACCUGUCCAUCAGCUUCCACCAUAAAAGCUAAGUUCCAGUCAUCUUAUUUUCUCACUUCUUUCUACAAUGUAUAGUUUCACAUUAUAUUAUAACCUUAUCAAUAUGAUAAUGAAAAUUGCCUGAAUUGUAUCCUAGACAAAGAAACAUCCAUUGCAGUCUACAUAGCACAGUCUGCUAGAAAGAUUGCUCUAUUCUGGAACAUAAAACGCAUUAACUGCAUAGACAGCAGUCAUAUCACCAUCAGGUUUCCACGACCCACUACAAUCCAGGCAGUGUCAGUGUAUGCUACCUUGGAGAAAGCUGUCAGAGUACCCUGUGUGCCUAGCAUCUCAGUGAACUACAUUCAAGUCUACACCUUGCCAGAGUGCCUUGGGUGCUGGCCAUAGGUGGAUCCUCUGAGCUGUCUCUAUGAGCUUGUCUGGGUAGAAAAAUGGAAGAAAGAAGUGGCCCACAGCAUAGUAAGGUGUAUGUAGUUGAUGAGGUUGGUGUCUGGGUUACUGUAACAAGAUAGGUUCAAGAUACUUCAGCCUCUUCCCUCUUCUCAGCACAGCCACAACACAGGAAGAAAGACAUGAUCUUUCCAGGGGUGAGAUGAGUGCUGUUGAGAUAAGUCCAUGAGGUCUUAUUGCCUGUCCCUGAGCUUUUACCCAGGUUGCCCAUGGGAAUUAUUAGACUGUGAUGGUCAGAUCCCAAGGACCAGACUCAAACAGCAGCCCAUGAAUCCUAUUCUUUAUCUCCUUCCAGUCUUUGAAGACCAGAAUGUCACCAUGCAUCUACACCUGUCAUUUACCAAACAAGAAUUGCCUUUCAUCUCCUGGAUCUGAGAAGUCUAAUAAAUUGCUCCAAUAUAUCACUAGAUAAUUGAAAACCAUCUUUAAUAUGAUAGUCACCAAGAAUGAACAGCAAAGUAAGUCUGUCUUCACUCUGUCUUAUCAUUCAGCACUCAAACAUAAAGAGAGAGUCCUGGAAAAGGGAAAACCUGACCAGCAAUUCCUGGGCAUGAAUGUUGAGUGUUGGAGAAUGGUCAUGUGGACCAAGGACAUGAGGAAUGGACAAUAGGGGAAAACAACCCUUUGGUGAUAUUCUUCAUUUUAAGAUGCAUCAAUAGGGUUUCAAGGUGACAAUUUCUGAAUGUAGGGGUCAUUCACUAUUGUACUAGACAUUGCAUUGCCGGUGUGUGGUUGGGUGCAAAUCAAACUUUCAGGAAAACCAAAGAAUUCUACCUUUUCUCCCACAGAAUCCCCUCCACAAUAAAGAUGGCGGCAGGUCCCUGUCAUUGUUCUAGAUAAUGGAUUACCUACACAUCCAUUUCCAAGUGUAAUGACACUCUUGCUUAUUAAAGGCCUCUCAGCUGAAGGGGCAGAAUAUUAUGAACUGGCCGAGCCAUUCAUUUUCUUGAAUAUGUUAUUCAGUAUUUUAUGCUAAACCAGCAAUACACCAUCCAUUUUAGUACAAUGAUCCUUAUGUUCAAUAAAAUUGAAGUGUCGCAUCAUAAAUCAUUAGAGUCAUUUAUUUUACAUUAGACACAUUAGCCACUAUAUUCCAUAAUCUAUUACAAUAAGGUGGAUUUAAAUGUACCCCAAGGAACUGCAGUAAUAACUCCAGAACCAAAUAUAGCAAUUUAUGGAUAAAAUAUGCUUAACCUAAAACUGCACUAGCUUUUGUGAUGGCUGUGAACUCUGAAUGGAAUUUAGUGCUGAUGGGGACUGAACUCAGCCACACAUAAAGAGAGAGAAAGUGGGAAAUGACAGGCCUGCCUCUAAUUUUCUGUUCAUUAGUUUUAGGAAUGUACAAGAUUAAUAAUUACACAAUUCAUCAGUGAGACACAAACUUUGUAGGAGCAACUCACGCUCAGCUAAACCAUCUCCUCAAUACUCCGCAUUCAGGAUCAUCAAUGGCCUCUCAGUUCUGGUUCUUCUCCCCAGCAGUGUCCUGCAGCUCUGCCUCAUUCAGAAGAACUCACGAAUCCUGACUCUGAGCAGACUGGAAAGGGCUACCAAGACGAGGCUUUUAUAGCAGAGAUAAUUUUUUUGUUUGCCUCUUUUCAAGACAGGUAUUACUACACAACUUGGGUUUGGUUGCUUUGUAACUAUGUUUGGUUUGGAACCCAUGAUCCUUCUGCCUCAGUUUCUCCAGUCUUGAUCUUAUUUGGCAUAUACCAGAGAAUUUGUAACUCACCUUCUAAGUUUAUGGGUGCUUUCUUUUAAUAACAAAUGAAAUGACAAUUAUAAAUACUUGGAAUUUAAUGAAACAGUUUUCUCCUAUCAUCCUCUAGAUAAUGGCUUUUUCAUAGCCCUUUGACAUUGUGUAUACAUCUCUGUUUGAAAUGCUUAUCUGAAUAUUCUAAUAUUCGGUUACUUCCCUGGCUUAGCAUGCCUCCCCUUAGUCAUGGAGAGUUUUCUUACUUGUAGUUAUAGGUACAUGACACCUCCGUACUGCUGACAUUCCAGUCUUAAGUCUUUGAGAUUUAAUCAUGAGAUGAGACUUGCCUGUUACACUCCUAAUAGAAAGCCUUUGAUGUUCAGGGUUAUUAAAAAGCAUACUCAUUGCUGUGUUUAAUUUCAGACAGCUCGGCCCUCAAUUGGCGCAAUCAGUUCUUAUUUAUGAAAUUAGAGAACAAGUUGAAUUUCCCCUUUCAAAGACAUCCAUCCGUCCAUGCAUCCACACACAGCUCAUCUAACUAUUCAGUGGUCCAGUCUUUAACCAGUAAUUCAUGCCUUCCCCAUGGAGACACACAGUGGCCACUAUAGCACUCAAGGAAUAAGAUGGAAAUUUACUUUGCAACAAGGUAUUUUAAAUAAUUGUUUGAUUGCAUUUUAUGCAAAAUAUUGCACGUUACAACAUUUAUAAUUGUUAAAUACCAAACACUUAUAGUGAAUGUUAAGCUCAGCACUGACUCACACACACACUGGGUGCUGGGGGAAAGAAAAAUCUGUACGUGGCUUCAUGUAACCUGUGAGUCUUGCUUUCCCUGGCCUCAGUCCUUUAUUGAUACAAUGAGGGGUCAAAUAGACAGUCUCUAGGUUUUUGUCUCAGAUUCUAAGAGGGGGAAAUUUGUGUUCAUUGUUUCAUUAGGAGAGAGAGAGAGAGAGAGAGAGAUAGAUAGAGAGAGAGAGAGAGAGAGAGAGAGAUAGAUA